AGUAAAUAGAUACCCGGGUAGUCCACGCCCUAAACGAUGUCAACUAGGUGUUGGAAGGGUUAAACCUUUUAGUACCGCAGCUAAACGCGUGAAAGUUGACCGCCUGGGGAGUACGGCCGCAAGGUUAAAACUCAAAGGAAUUGACGGGGACCCGCACAAGCGGUGGAUGAUGUGGAUUAAUUCGAUGCAAACGCGAAAAACCUUACCUACCCUUGACAUGCCAGGAACUUUCCAGAGAUGGAUUGGUGCCCGAAAGGGAGCCUGGACACAGGUGCUGCAUGGCUGUCGUCAGCUCGUGUCGUGAGAUGUUGGGUUAAGUCCCGCAACGAGCGCAACCCUUGUCAUUAAUUGCCAUCAUUCAGUUGGGCACUUUAAUGAGACUGCCGGUGACAAACCGGAGGAAGGUGGGGAUGACGUCAAGUCCUCAUGGCCCUUAUGGGUAGGGCUUCACACGUCAUACAAUGGUCGGUACAGAGGGUUGCCAAGCCGCGAGGUGAGCCAAUCCCAGAAAGCCGAUCGUAGUCCGGAUCGCAGUCUGCAACUCG
rnacentral:rRNA from 1 species